rnacentral:lncRNA from 1 species
CUUUUUUUAUUUCCUAUUCAUCUUUCUUUUGUUUUUUGAUUACCCUUUAAAACUUGAAACUUCCAUGAUUUUGAAGAUCAAGGUACUUGUAGAAAGCGCAGUAAAGGUAAUGGUUGAAUGGCCAUCAAUUUAAGGAAAAUUUUUGUGUGCAUAUUUUAAAUUUUUCUUAUGGGUGAAUAGGUAUCUUAUUUCCUCAUACUUUUUUUGUCGACACUUGCUUCGGCUUGCAUCCAUCUCUAUGUCAAUCGUCACAUUGGAGUAAGUACACUCUCUAUGUUCUUUCCUUUUCAAUUUUACAAUGAUAUAUGUUAGUUUAAUUUAUUUAUUUUGGCGUUUCUUUGUACUCAUUUUGUAAUCAUAGGAGAUAAGGAUGAUUUAUUUGUUUUCUUUGUAUUACUCAUGAUUUGAUCUGGUUCUAAUUUGCGGUAGUACUUAAAGUAUUUUAUUCUAGAGGACAAAGCCCAUUUGGUGUUUGAUAAAAUGCCACAACAGAGGUGAUGUCACUUGAACAAAUUAUAUAUAAUGACAAUAUUGUUAACAAGUAGUCUUUAAAUCUUUAAAAUAUCAGAUAUCAGUUUCACACAUUCGUAUUAGUUUUAAUUCCUUUGUUUAUGAGUUAGGGUAGAUUCUCUUUACAUGCUAAAUUUUGAAGAAUAAUAGAAUUACCUCUGAGUUUAAUUAGGCUGUUAAGUUAUAUUUUUAUUCUUCAUCAAUGUUUUCAUUUGAAAUAUCUGUUAUCCCAAACAGAGAAAUAGAGGUUGAAUGAAAUAUGUAAUGAGAACAAAGGAGAUGCAAUAAAAGUACAAAGGAGAGAUGCAAUAAAAUAUAUGUAUAAUGAGAAUAAAGGAGAUGCAACGUCUAUAGCAUAAGCAGAGAUAAUGUGAACUUCUUUUGGUUUAGAGGUGAAAAUUGGAGAAAAUAAGACAAAGAUAGGAAACUGAUUGGUACAAUAAAGGUGCAAACAUUUUUGUUAUAUUUUAGCUUAUUAAGAGGUACUUCUCCUUAUAUUUUCUUGCCUUAGGUUCUGACUUCUACGUUUUUGUGAUGUUUUCUUUUCUUUUUUUAGGUGUUUGACAAAGAUGGUAACUUAAGAGCUUUAAGAGUGAGGUGGAAACAGUUUUGGAAUCACUAGAAUCAAGUCAGAUCAACAUACAACUGUUUGUUCCUAUUAAAUUUUGCACUUCCUUGCAGUUCUUGAUAUUUUUUUUAGAUUUUUAUCUAUUAUGCCUUGUAUUCAUGCAAACACUAAGAACACGUAUAAUGUGUAGUGGUUACAUUCACAUGGUUAACAAAGCCUCGCUCUCUGUUGUUGCCUUCCAAAUCUCUAUAGUACGUUUCUUUCUUUGACUCAUUUAUGAGAUGCACUCUUUAAUUGACAGUGAACCUGAUUUGUUAUUUUCAAUUACUUGGUUAUGUUAUGUUCUUGUGGUGAUAAAAUUGCUUCUUGUUGGUGCUCUGCAGCUUAUAUGUUCUUAUGUGUUGAAUGGGGGUUUUGGAUAAAAAAUUAAACUGGAUUUGAAACAUGUAGAUGUUGAAUAGUGUCUAGUAAUUCGUACAUUCUACUACAAUAUCUAUUAUAUACAUCCUUCAAAUUAAUUUUUUAAGUGCAAAUCAUAAUCUAUCAUACAGAAUUUGGCUAUCUAACAGCACUAAAAGCUAGCAUGAUCACCAUAGGCUUAACAUGCUACAUUAACUAAAUGACUUGAUCUGAUAGUUUAUUUCGAUUUCUUUAAGUUUGUACACACUUUAUGGUUACUAUUUCUUUCACGUUGUCCUAGUUUUCAAGUAUUAAGUCACACAAAAAUACCAAGACUAUCUAUCUUAACUUCUCGUCAUUAUAGAAAACUUCUCCGGAUGUACUUUAUAUAUGCAUAUCAGCCAGUCAUUGUCUUGCUUUAUAACUCUGCUUGUUUAGUGAUGUUUGAGUUACUUAAAAAAGUUUAUUUUUCACGAUGUGAAGGAAAUACUUGCACUACGCAAGAUGCAUAUAUGCCUACCUUCGAUUCCAUAAAAGAAUCUGGUGCAUCUAUUCCUUUAACAAGAACUAGGGACGUUGCUUUACUUUGGGCUAUGGCUGCUUGUGGAAUAUUUUAGCUUCAAAAAUGGUUGUGCAAUGCGAACAACUAGUAAUUCUACACUGACUUUGUUCAUUAUGUGAAGCUCUUUUUGACUGCUUUUGAAGUAUGAUUAUAGUUUGGUGAGACUCUUCAAAGGUUAGUUGAAAGCUACAAUAUAUCGGCGAAGAUUUGAGUUGUAAGUUGGAUGAGUUCUUGGAUGCAACUUGAUCUGAUACAAUUCAGCCUAUCUUACUGGCACACAAUUGAAUCUUCAAACUGGAAUUUCAUGUGGAAGAACUCAAUAUGAUUUAAGAGUUCGAAGAGAGAUUUUUAUUAGACUUGAAAUAUCAUUUGAUUCAAAUGGUUUAUUUUUUUUUCUUAGGUUGUUCACACUUUGUAACGAUGGAUUAGAAGUUGUAUUUGUUUAUUGUGGAUUUAAUGAAG